AGUGAACGCUGGCGGUAGGCCUAACACAUGCAAGUCGAACGGCAGCACAGUAAGAGCUUGCUCUUACGGGUUGCGAGUGGCGGACGGGUGAGGAAUACAUCGGAAUCUACUUUUUCGUGGGGGAUAACGUAGGGAAACUUACGCUAAGACCGCAUACGACCUACGGGUGAAAGCAGGGGAUCUUCGGACCUUUCGCGAUUGAAUGAGCCGAUGUCGGAUUAGCUAGUUGGCGGGGUAAAGGCCCACCAAGGCGACGAUCCGUAGCUGGUCUGAGAGGCUGAUCAGCCACACGGGAGCUGAGACACGGUCAAGACUCCUAAGGGAGGCAGCAGUGGGGAAUAUUGGACAAUGGGCGCAAGCCUGAUCCAGCCAGACCGCGUGGGUGAAGAAGGCCUUCGGGUUGUAAAGCCCUUUUGUUGGGAAAGAAAAGCAGCAGGUUAAUACCCCGCUGUUCUGACGGUACCCAAAGAAUAAGCACCGGCUAACUUCGUG
rnacentral:rRNA from 1 species